AGGAAACAAGAAGUCAAAUACAUUUCUUCUCCCUAGCUACCAAUCUGUCUGUCCUUCCUGAACAGCAGAGGAUCCUCCAGCGUUGGUCUAUGGCAGUCGUGAUGAAAUAAACCUUGAGGCAAGUGUAUAUGCCCAUGGACUGCAUGGUGCUGGCUUCCACGAUGUAGUCCAAGGGCACAUACCCUCACACCAGGGAUCAUGAGAACUCCGCACAGGAAGAGGCCAGUCGGAUGUAACCUUACCUGGGCUGGGUCUGACUGUACCUGAGGGAAAUGGAGCUUGGUUUCAGAUUAGCAGGAGUUACAGCCACAAUCAUCUGCAUGCCCAUGCCAAGCCAGAGACCUUUAAGGCCCUGGUCUUCCUGAAGGUCUACAAAGAUUUUUUUUCCCCUCUACUGUUGUUGUCACCCAGGGAUACUGAUUCCAGCCACACUACACAACAGCCCAUCACACAUCAAGUUCCCAUGCUCCCUGUCUCCAGUUGCCUGGCAUCAUACAACUGUCCUAUAUCAAACAGUCCCUAGGGUCUCCUCCCAAGCAGUCUAUACUGAUCUAUGAACCACCUCACUUGGCUUGGUACCCUUCUUUUGAUGUGGUGCGGUGCUACAAGUAUGCAACACCUGAACAAUGACAUGAUAGUUUGGUUUAAAGCCAUAAGUUCUUUCAAUACCAAAUUCCUUUGCGAGUUCUUUCCCGACCUUCUCUCCACAGGAGCCAAGGACCCACGCUAAAAAAUGCAUGGGUGCAGGAGGCCAACCCGUGUGCCCAGUUAAACUUCUUAAUGCCCAUUCACAGCGGCUCAGCUUUCAGUGUGCCUACAUUCCCUCUGAAAUCAAACUGUGAAAAUUAAUGCUCUGUUUAGCACAAGGUUUGCUCCAUCUAGGUUCAUUAGCAAUCACUGGGGUUCAGGUCUGUGACAUUUCUCUAGUGCUUUAGGAUCCUGCACGGGCAAAAGCUGCUGUCAAAGAGCUACGUUUCCUUUCACUUACAACAAUCAGAGCCUUGUGCUUAAUUUGCUGCACUCAGCAAUUAAAAGAAAGUUACCUUGCGUGCUAUCUUUUGCAAGGGACCAUUUCUGCCAAACAUGCUGAAUCAAAAGGAAACUACUUUUGGCAGAAAGCCACUUGAACUGACUCUCCAAAAGUCAUGUCACCACACAGUAGGUAUCAAGUGCCAACACUGAACCACUCUUCUACCCCAACACCAGCAACCCCUCACUGCCACCUACACUCCUCCGCUGAUUGGUCACAAUGAGGCUCCUGCUCUUUGGAGAAUCCAUCAUACUUUUACAUACUGGUUCAGUAUUUCAGCUAGUUAGUAGCUCCUUAUAAAACAAUACUCUGGUGGUAUGUAAAACUGCUCAGAGAGGGCCAGCCAUCCAACUUGCUAUCUGCUUCCUUGUCCUGGGUCACAUACAAAUCCACUGAAUUGCUGCGUUUGUUCCCAUGCUCCCCAUCGAGAAAAGGAUAUGUGGCUGAGACAGUCAAGAAUUCAGUGUCUUUCACUCAUAAAAACUUGAAGUCUGGGCUAAGAGAUGUCAAGGCCCAAUUCUAAUCAGUUGUAAGAGAAGUGAAAGGUUCCAUCCUUGGGGAGCUCAAAAAAAUCUCAGCCCCCAGUAUUCAGGAGUCCUGAUGGACAUUCGAAAGUCUUACUCUGUGUCAAAGACCCUAAACAGUCAUGUCAGUACUCAAAACCUACAAUUUUCAGUGAUCAAUAAUCACACAAAUCUCUAGUUCAGAGUCCGGUUAGGUCAGUAAACUGAGAGUGUCAGAAACAGGCCUACUAAGAGAAGCAAAGUAGGUAAGUAAGCUGUGCUAUCACAGAUCUGUCCCUACCACAGUAUAUUAAACAACCGAUCCUUCCUCCCACCCCUGCCAUUUCUCUCCCUAGUACAGGAAUAAAGUUAGCUAUGGGGUCAGCCUUUCUUUAUUGUUUGCAGUUUUUCUAGUGAUGGAAGCCAGCUGGUAGCAUUUACUGAUGCUGGGGAAAGAAACACGUGGUAGGGAAACAGGCACUUUUAUUGGCCCAGAGUGUCAUUAUGGAUUUGUAAUUGCUGGCAGAGAGCAGAAGGGUGGUUAUCUGUUGUUUUAAUUUAAAAAAAAAGAAAAAUCAUCCUUCACAGUCAGAAGGAAUCCCCCCUCCGUGUGCUCAAUACAAAAAGCCAACCCAAGCUGUGGAGCCGGAACAUUAUUAUUCUUAUUUGCAUGUGGUUUCAAGAUGUUGGCUUGUUAUACACAGAGAUGUAAACUGGUCCCAAAUUUUGCUGUUCACAGAAUUCACGACCAGCCUGCACCCAGAAGAACCCAUCUUUACCAUGUUCCCAAUAUGCUUAAUUACCACAUUUGUCAAAGCUGAAGAGGCCCCACAGACUGCAGCUGGAAAACCAGACCUCUGGGAUUGGUACCACGUUUGCUCCUCUCUACUUCUUAGCUCUUGGAGAGGGUUGACUAAGGGAUGGCACCAUUAGCACUGGGACAUUUGCUUCUUUGAUUCUGGUACAAGCUGGCCCCAAGUCCUAUUCCUUUUGAUGUCAACAGUCAAGUUCCCAUUGGUUUCAACAGAAGAAAUUAAAGAUCAUCCACCCAAAAUGAGUUAACUUGUAGACUCUGCCCAGGGCAUCAGAGCUUAUGGAAGGAAAUAAAAAUAAGCUUCAUUGUAUCUCUGUACUCAUCACUUCUCCCUUAAGUACUGUGAAAAGGGAUCCUAUAAAAAUGCAUAAUGAGCUUC